GACGAAGGGGGCUAGCGUUGUUCGGAAUUACCGGGCGUAAAGGGCGCGCAGGCGGCUGCUCAAGUCAGGCGUGAAAGGCCUGGGCUCAACCCGGGAAUUGCGCUUGAGACUGGGCUGGCUUGAGGUGACGGGAGAGGAUGGUGGAAUUCCAGUGUAGAGGUGAAAUGCGCAGAUAUCGGGAGGAACACCAGUAGCGAAGGCGGCUCGC
rnacentral:rRNA from 1 species